rnacentral:rRNA from 1 species
AGAGUUUGAUCCUGGCUCAGGAUGAACGCUAGCGGGAGGCUUAACACAUGCAAGUCGAGGGGCAGCAUUGGUACUUGUACCAGAUGGCGACCGGCGCACGGGUGAGUAACGCGUAUGCAACCUACCUUUUACAGGGGAAUAGCCCAGAGAAAUUUGGAUUAAUGCCCCAUGGUUCUAUAAUGCCGCAUGGUAUAAUGGAUAAAGUUUCGGCGGUAAAAGAUGGGCAUGCGUGACAUUAGCUAGUUGGUAAGGUAACGGCUUACCAAGGCGACGAUGUCUAGGGGUUCUGAGAGGAUUAUCCCCCACACUGGUACUGAGACACGGACCAGACUCCUACGGGAGGCAGCAGUGAGGAAUAUUGGUCAAUGGGCGAGAGCCUGAACCAGCCAUCCCGCGUGCAGGAUGACGGCCCUAUGGGUUGUAAACUGCUUUUAUAUACCAAGAAACCUAUCUACGUGUAGAUAGCUGACGGUAGUAUAUGAAUAAGCAUCGGCUAACUCCGUGCCAGCAGCCGCGGUAAUACGGAGGAUGCAAGCGUUAUCCGGAUUCAUUGGGUUUAAAGGGUGCGUAGGCGGUCUUUUAAGUCAGUGGUGAAAUCCUGCGGCUCAACCGUAGAACUGCCAUUGAAACUGAAAGACUUGAAUACACCAGAGGUAAGCGGAAUGUGUAGUGUAGCGGUGAAAUGCUUAGAUAUUACACAGAACACCGAUUGCGAAGGCAGCUUACUAUAGUGUCAUUGACGCUGAUGCACGAAAGCGUGGGUAGCGAACAGGAUUAGAUACCCUGGUAGUCCACGCCGUAAACGAUGAUAACUAGCUGUUUGCGAUACACAGUAAGCGGCAAAGCGAAAGCAUUAAGUUAUCCACCUGGGGAGUACGGUCGCAAGAUUGAAACUCAAAGGAAUUGACGGGGGCCCGCACAAGCGGAGGAACAUGUGGUUUAAUUCGAUGAUACGCGAGGAACCUUACCUGGGCUUAAAUGUAUUUUGUAUGAUUUGGAAACAGAUCUUUCCUUCGGGACUAUUUACAAGGUGCUGCAUGGUUGUCGUCAGCUCGUGCCGUGAGGUGUCGGGUUAAGUCCCAUAACGAGCGCAACCCCUAUCGUUAGUUGCUAGCAGGUCAAGCUGAGGACUCUAACGAGACUGCCGGUGUAAACCGAGAGGAAGGUGGGGAUGACGUCAAAUCAGCACGGCCCUUACGUCCAGGGCUACACACGUGUUACAAUGGCCGAUACAGAGGGCAGCUACCUGGUGACAGGAUGCAAAUCUCGAAAGUCGGUCUCAGUUCGGAUCGGAGUCUGCAACUCGACUCCGUGAAGGUGGAUUCGCUAGUAAUCGCGUAUCAGCAAUGACGCGGUGAAUACGUUCCCGGGCCUUGUACACACCGCCCGUCAAGACAUGGAAGCUGGGAGUACCUGAAGUACGUGACCGUAAGGAGCGUCCUAGGGUAAAACUAGUGACUGGGGUUAAGUCGUAACAAGGUA